CCACCCUUCGAGCCAGGGACGGCUUUUUGUGAAGUUUGGCCCGGGCCACCGGGGCCAGGGCCGGCUUUAGGCUGUUUGGGGCCUUUGGAGGAGUCUUUCGGUGAUAAGUCGGUGGUUGCAGGUUUGCGGUAAGUUCCGGGACGGCCUAAAUUAAUUUCAAAUGGUACUCAAUCAAAAUGAUUAUUUAUUUAUGAGCAAACGUUUCUAUUAUAAAAGAAUAAAGGUUUGAAAUCAUUGCCAAAUCGGGAUGGUGAUGCAAUAAUUGCAAAUCUGACCGUAAAUGGCCAUACAAAUCAUAAGCUGUAAAACGAAUUACUCUUCGACCUUAAUUUAGUUAAUCAUCCGUACCGUCACGCCAUACAAGAGCCACCGGUAAAAAUAAAUCCUAUUUACAUUUAAAAUAGAAAUGAAAAAAUAACUCGAAAAUUCCGAAUUCCAGCCGUAUGAGUGAUUGUUGUCUCAACACUUUAGUCAUUGUAAUAUAAAAAUAAUCCUCGUGACGUGUUUUUGAGACACCCAAAAAGCGCCCGAUGCACAAUACGUGUCGCAUAAAAAUAAUAAAUGAUCAAAAACACGAAUUUCAAAAAUUAGCACACGUGUAUACAAUUUAACGUUUAUACAAUUUGAGAACAGGUGUAUUUUCGUAAAAGUUGGCACAUACGGCUCAUUACUGCCAAUCUUGAUCAAGCCGAGUUGUUUUGACCCACUUUCGUGCGAAAUGAUCAAAAAAUGCGAUUUUUUUUCAAAUGAGAAUAGUCAAAAAUGAUGUAGUUUUGGAGCGGUGGCUAUUUCCGUCGGAAAAAUGACUCAUAAGCUCACGCAUAGUACGCACCCCCUACUACGGGUCCCACGUGAGGUGCUUUUCUCGGCACUCAAACAUGUGCAGUGCUCGAGUGAAGACGUGUUAGUUAAAGCCGCGAAAAUUCGCCCCAAACGGGCGAAUUUUCGCGGGUUUUGCUUGACCGGGGUGAAGGGUUUUGUGGUUGCAAGUGACCGAAAAAAGGGAGUUGGAGCUGGGCCAGGCAGGUGUAAAUUUUGAAUUUUGAAUAAAGUUUUUUGUCAGAA